ensembl:lncRNA
UGAGAUCUGAAGGAAAAAGAGCCUAAUUGGCUGAACGAAACCCAUUAAAGUAAAUGGGAUGUAGGACCUGUGACUUUGAGUCUGCUCACGGUGGCUCGGAGCAGCAGCGUGCCAACGUCCCAAGCCCUUCUCCAUCCAUCUUUCCCUCGGGCUCUGGUGCUACACAUAUCUGGUACGGAAGAGAAGGGAAAAGAGUCACUCUGUCACUGUAGGAAGAAAAGGAAAAGCCUUUGGAGAGCUUGAAAACGAAGACUUAAAGGUGGGCAGUUAAAAGGACAAACACUGUCGAGCAAAUCUGUCGCUGCUCCCACUUCCUUUCAGCUGAAACGAGGGGAGUGGAUUCCAAUGUGUGUUGCUUCAGGAGAAAUCACGGCCUGAUGCUGUUGGUGCGAACUGCCCACCUCUCCAUCAGCCUGGCCAGAAAAUUAAGGAAUGCUUUGUUUGAGUGAAUCCCUGUGUUUCAGUCUCUCCACACGAGCCCCUGUCCACAGCCUCCUUUGGACCCACAUUUUAUGAGAGAGG